AAAGAAUUAGUUAAAUUAACAUUAGUAUGUCAUGCUAAAAUUGCUUGUCUUAACCCAGCAUUCUUUG
rnacentral:tRNA from 1 species